rnacentral:misc_RNA from 1 species
CAUUGUCGUGACCCUGACCAAAAUAGACCGUGAACGCGUAAUCCAGCCCGCCGUCGGCGACUCACCUCGUCGUUCGGCCAAGUCCUCGACAACCUCCUCUCCUCGGAGCGGUGGCUCGGGGUAAAAGAACCCACGGCGCCUAAGGCGUCAAGGAACACUGUGCCUAACUCGGGGACGCGUCUGGCUUGCUGGCCGCCCCCCGUGUUGCAAAGCUAUAUAAUCCACACGACUCUCGGCAACGGAUAUCUCGGCUCUCGCAUCGAUGAAGAACGUAGCGAAAUGCGAUACCUGGUGUGAAUUGCAAAUCCCGCAACCAUCGAGUCUUUGAACGCAAGUUG